rnacentral:rRNA from 1 species
CCUACGGGUGGCAGCAGUGAGGAAUAUUGGUCAAUGGGCGCGAGCCUGAACCAGCCAAGUAGCGUGAAGGAUGACUGCCCUACGGGUUGUAAACUUCUUUUAUACAGGAAUAAAGUGAGGCACGUGUGCCUUUUUGUAUGUACUUUAUGAAUAAGGAUCGGCUAACUCCGUGCCAGCAGCCGCGGUAAUACGGAGGAUCCGAGCGUUAUCCGGAUUUAUUGGGUUUAAAGGGAGCGUAGAUGGGUUGUUAAGUCAGUUGUGAAAGUUUGCGGCUCAACCGUAAAAUUGCAAUUGAUACUGGCAGCCUUGAGUUCAGUUGAGGUAGGCGGAAUGUGUGGUGUAGCGGUGAAAUGCUUAGAGAUCACGAAGAACUCCGAUUGCGAAGGCAGCUUACCAAACUGCCACUGACAUUGAGGCUCGAAAGUGUGGGUAUCAAACAGGAUUAGAUACCCCUGUAGUC